AGGCUAUGAUGAUUAAAGUUAUACCAUUAAACUAUGAAAACUCAGUGUUGAGCUGUUUGAUUAAUCCAUAAUUAAUAUCUCUGAGCCU